UUUUUAGUACAAGUACAUCUCAUGCAAUAUUUAGAACAUACUUAAACUAAAA
rnacentral:miRNA from 1 species